GGAGAGGUGCCAGAGCGGACGAAUGGUACGGUCUUGAAAACCGUCGUGGUGUCAAAGCCACCGUGGGUUCGAAUCCCACCCUCUCCGCCA
rnacentral:tRNA from 1 species